GCUGAAAGCCUCUAAGCAUGAAGCCCCCCUCAAGAUGAGAUUUCCCAUAGCGCAAGCUAGUAAGAUCCCUGCAAGAUGGUCAGGUAGAUAGGUUCGAGGUGGAAGCGUGGCGACACGUGGAGCUGACGAAUACUAAUCGAUCGAUGACUUAUCCUAAUU
rnacentral:rRNA from 1 species